CGGGUAGCGGGAGUAGCGGUCGUGGCGGGCCUGACCCGCCUGGGCUCGGGAGCCAAUUCCAGCUCCCGGCCCGGCCGGGAGACGCAGGUGCCGCGGGGGAGAGCCGGGGGGCGCAGUGCAGGCAGCUGUGUCAAUCGUUUCCCCCCGAGGGACCCGCCGGUGUCUAGGGACGGUGGGCUGUGCAGCUGCGCCAGGCCUGCUGGGGCCGCGGCCCGAGAGCGGGGAGGCGGGGAGCUCGCGGCUCGGAACCGCCCUCCAACCUGGCCUGGCGGGUGCUGGCCCGGCGCAGGUAACGACUGCGGGAACCGGGAAGCCCGGAGCGUUGGGCACCUAACGCCGCGAGUGAUGUCGGUUCCAGCUUUAAAUGCUCCCCCUCCGACCCCUCGGCCCACUAUAAACUCUCCAAGGAAGGGACUGUUGAAUUGUUCACUGCCAGAUGCCCAGCACACCUAGAAUAGGGCCUCACACACACAAAGUAUGCUGUAAACAUCUGUUGACUGAAUACCUCAGAAAUGUGUUCAACUCUUCUAUAUCUUCACUAAUUUUUUGUGUGUACUUGGCCUAUCAAUAAUAGCAAAAGGAGAACAGGCCUGGGCUAGCCUGCUGGAGGAUGAGAAGCCACAUGGAAAAGAGCUGAGGUCAUCCUAUACCAGUCACCAGCCACCAGACCCCGAACAUGCAAACCAAGCCAGGAUUAGCAUACCCACCUACCUGACCUGCAGCUGCCCACGGUUGCAUGUGUGAGCCCACCUCGGGCCAGACCAACUGCCCAGAUGACUUUAGACU